CUUAAUAAGAUAAACUUCAUAUCGUAGACAAUUUUUAUGGGACGUAGGUCUUUCCAAAUAUAUCGGAGGCGUACAAUUGUUUCUUUGAAUUAGAUGGAGAUUGGUUCUCGAGUGCAAAGGUAAAAGGGAGCUUGACUGCGAGACCCACUUGUCGAGCAAUGACGAAAGUCAGUCUUAGUGAUCCGACAGUGUUGAGUGGAAGGAUCGUCGUUCAACAGAUAAAAAUUACUCUAGGGAUAACAGACUGAUUUUCCUAAGACCUUACAUUGACAGGAAGGUUUAACACCUUGAUGGAAAUGG
rnacentral:ncRNA from 1 species